rnacentral:rRNA from 1 species
UCCUACGGGAGGCAGCAGUAGGGAAUAUUGCGCAAUGGGCGAAAGCCUGACGCAGCGACACCGUGUGAAGGAUGAAGGCCUUCGGGUCGUAAACUUCUGUCAAUUGGGGACGAAGGUAGUAGGGUUAAUACCCCGAAUAUUGACGGUACCCAAUAAGGAAGUCUCGGCUAACUCCGUGCCAGCAGCCGCGGUAAGACGGAGGAGGCAAGCGUUGUCCGGAAUCAUUGGGCGUAAAGAGCGCGUAGGCUGUUUUCCAAGUCAUAUGUGAAAACCUCAGGCUUAACUUGAGGAUUGCAUAUGAAACUGGAUAACUUGAGUGCAGUAGGGGAAAGUGGAAUUCCUGGUGUAGCGGUGAAAUGCGCAGAUAUCAGGAAGAACACCGGUAGCGAAGGCGGCUUUCUGGGCUGCUACUGACGCUGAGGCGCGAAAGCUAGGGGAGCAAACAGGAUUAGAUACCCUGGUAGUCCUAGCCGUAAACGAUGGACACUAGGUGUGGGGAGUUAUCGACGCUUUCCGUGCCGAAGUUAACGCAUUAAGUGUCCCGCCUGGGGAGUACGGCCGCAAGGCUAAAACUCAAAUGAAUUGACGG